AUUGAACGCUGGCGGAAUGCUUUACACAUGCAAGUCGAACGGGCUUGAGGGGCUUGCUCCUCAAGUUAGUGGCGAACGGGUGAGUAAUGCGUCGGAACGUACCGAGUAAUGGGGGAUAACGCAGCGACAGUUGUGCUAAUACCGCAUACGCCCUUAGGGGGAAAGCAGGGGAUCGCAAGACCUUGCGUUAUUCGAGCGGCCGACGUCUGAUUAGCUAGUUGGUGGGGUAAUGGCUCACCAAGGCGACGAUCAGUAGCGGGUCUGAGAGGAUGAGCCGCCACACUGGGACUGAGACACGGCCAAGUCUCCGCCGGGAGGCGGCAUUGGGGAGUUUUAGCAAACGUGGGAAACCCUGAUCCACCCAUUCCGGGUGAGUGAAGGAGGCCUUCGGGUUGUAAAGCUCUUUCAGCUGGAGUGAAAAGGUCCGCACUAACAUUGCGUGCUAAUGACGGUACCAGCAGAAGAAGCACCGGCUAACUACGUGCCAGCCGCCGCCGUAAUAC
rnacentral:rRNA from 1 species